UUUCCUACGGGGGGCAGCAGUGGGGGAUAUUGCACAAUGGGGGAAACCCUGAUGCAGCGACGCCGCGUGAGUGAAGAAGUAUUUCGGUAUGUAAAGCUCUAUCAGCAGGGAAGAAAAAAGACGGUACCUGACUAAGAAGCCCCGGCUAACUACGUGCCAGCAGCCGCGGUAAUACGUAGGGGGCAAGCGUUAUCCGGAUUUACUGGGUGAAAAGGGAGCGGAGAAGGCAAUACAAGUCGGAAGUGAACAA
rnacentral:rRNA from 1 species